UCUCAGGCUGUGACUCUCCAGAGGGAUGCACUUUCUCUUAUGUGAAAAAAAAAGAAGGCGCAUCCCUUUAGAGCGUUACGGUUUGGGU
rfam:Pongo abelii chromosome 19.